rnacentral:rRNA from 1 species
CAAUAGCGUAUAUUAAAGUUGCUGCAGUUAAAAAGCUCGUAGUUGGAUCUCGGGUGCAGGCUUGCGGUCCGUCUCGCGGCGGUCACUGCUCGUCCUGGCCUCCUAGCCGGCGUACCGUCCCUUGGUGCUCUUGACUGAGUGUCUCGGGCGGCCGGAACGUUUACUUUGAAGAAAUUAGAGUGCUCAAAGCAGGCCUUUGCUGCCUGCAUAAUGGUGCAUGGAAUAAUGGAAUAGGACCUCGGUUCUAUUUUGUUGGUUUUCGGAGCUCGAGGUAAUGAUUAAUAGGGACUGACGGGGGCAUUCGUAUUGCGGCGCUAGAGGUGAAAUUCUUGGACCGUCGCAAGACGAACUACAGCGAAAGCAUUUGCCAAGCAUGUUUUCAUUGAUCAAGAACGAAAGUAUGGGAUCGAAGAUGAUCAGAUACCAU